rnacentral:lncRNA from 1 species
GAUGUCUGACCUCAUGGUAGCUUGGUUAGCCUCCACUUGCUCUAAUGUCAUCUUGUAGUUGCUUCGCGUCUCGUACCGGUGUUGAUUAGUCAGCGUUACUGGAUAGAGGGCAAAAGGUUGGGUAAGUUUUUUUUGUUUUUAUGAAGCGUGAUGCAUGAGGAUGCGAAUGUUAUGCAUAUUUUAUUUUCAGGGAAUUUUCAUCACGGUUGUAGUUAUAUUAAUCAUUCGAAGAAAACAUAAAGUCAGGAAAUAAAAAUGAGGAUCAUCCUCCUCCAUUCAAAUGUUUAAAGUACGGAGUACAAAGGCAUAA